GAAGAAGAUAAGGAGGAGAAAAGGAAGUGGAGGAGGUCAAAGUCGGUGGCACUGGUGGUUUCUCAAUAGUGACACAGAAGUGUGACGAUGGUGGCUACCAGAUAUUAGAGGAGGAGAGGAAGGAGGAGGAAGAGAGAUAUUAGAGGAGGAGGGGAAGGAGGAGGAAGAGGAAGAGAAAAAUGAGGAGGAAAGGAGGAGAAUGAUGAGUUGAAAGUGGCAGAGGUCGAUGUGAUGACAAUGUCAAUGACGGUGGAGGCAUUGUGAAGAGGAAAGGAGGAAGAAGAAGAAAAAAAGUAAAAAGAAGAUGAAGAGGAGGAGGAGGAAGAGGAUCCAAUUGCAUUUUUAUCGACAAAUUUCUUCCAUGGUCUGAAUUUGUGUAUAGUUACUUUUAAAUUGUUCGUUCGGACUUUGAGAUUACUUUGGUCUACCACAACAAAAUAUCAAAUGCUUAAGUCAAAAUGCCAUAAAGAAGAUAGAGAUGCAAUUCGAAGAAAGAUUUAAUAAUGUCACCCAUGGAGUAAAGGUUUGAGCA
rnacentral:lncRNA from 1 species